CCCAGGCAGAGGCGGCGCACUGGCGGCUUCCCUCUGAGCGCGCCUCCUGGGGUGCGGAGCUAGGAACACCUCCCUCCCUGUCCUAGGCGCCUCCUGGACUUUUCCAUUUGCUUGGAAAGCGCGUUCAAGAAUCACCAUUCAGUGGACUUGACCCACAGGCUGAGUAAGUGAGAUCCCAAAGACUUCCUGAUCUGUGAGAAUCCAAGAAGAUCCCAGGGCUAGGGUCCAAAGGUCAAGUAUGACUGGUGGAUCGUGGUCCCUAGCUUUCCAGUGCCCCCCAAGAGAGCCGGCGCAUGAAGCCUUGGGAAAUCCUGCUUUCGAGUUCAAAGCAAGUAAGCCUCCGGGUCUCUGGGUCCCCAGGCGCAGCCUUGCACACGCCUGAUUUCUGCUCUAAGCCCCGGCGGGGCGGCGUAUGAAGGAGACCAGAGACUACAAAGUCUACGCUCAGCUGUGGUAAUAACGCCAAGCCGGUCCAAUUCCUAUAGCCCUGGGGUUUGCAACCCCAGUCAAGCCGGGAAGAGGGCCCCCAGACCAGGAAGAUAUGGGGAGGAAGACAGGAAGGAAACCCAGCAGUCCCUUUUCGCCUGUCUCUUGGAUGAGCCACCAGGCUGUCUGUUUCCCCUAGGACAGAGUUGAUCCUUUCCACUCUGUCUAUACUUCAAGGCUGCUGUGAGUUUCCAAAGGGGGCUUCCGCUUCCAAAUGGCAAACCAGGCUGCACUAAUAGGGUGGUCUGGUUUCAGGGCUCUAGAACCUUCCCUCUACUCUCCCAGAUCACACCCACUGUAAAGCCACGGAGCCUGGUAAGAGGGUUGUUUGGCCCUGUACUUUCUACCACCAGCCCUUGGGAACGUUAUGGGAAUCCGUACUGGGGAGCGAGUCCAGAGACUGUCGGACUUCAAUAGGCAGCUGCUACAGCCCAUAGCGGGCCCAGGGGAACUGCGUGGUCCGUGCACACACAUACUCGGCUUCCCACGUCCUCUGGCCACACCGCUUCGGGGCUAGCCAGUGCCACACACUGCCUUGGUUUGGGCACUAAACGCACCAGUAGCGCGGAAAACUAACAGAAUGACGUGCAUUUGUUUAGAAUUGAACACGGGCUAUAGCGAAAGCAUACCCGCAGCCCUUGGGAAGAGUCCAUUGCUUUUUGAAAAAAACUUACUUUCUGAAAGCUGAUCAAUAUGUAGCCUUCCUGCCGUGGUCCCUAAAUGUCCCCCCCCGGCCCCUCCCCGGGGAGUGGUCAUAAAAUGACCUCAAAGGUCGUGAGGAACGCACAAACAUAACUCUCUAAGCCGGGAUGCCCAUGGGUUGUAUUUCGGGGAUUCAUUGGCUCCCCUUAACUCUCUCUGAACAGCUUUUCAGAGUCUCUGCCGCUGCCGCUGUCAUAUCUUGUAAUGAUUUGGUUAUCGUAAAGAAUGCGAACCGAUUUCUCGCACCGGCAGGAACGCGGAUGAAUUGUGCUGUAGGCCGGACCGUGACAUCUCAGUGAACUCUGCCGAGCCACCCCACCAAGUUCAGCCUGCGCCCGGUUACAAGAUGAGCCAGGCUCACACGCUGGAAAUGGCCACAGGAGAAAAACAAUACUUAAAAAAUAAAUACGAAAUCUAACUGGCCAUCAAGAUCUGCGGG
rnacentral:sRNA from 1 species